GGCGGCGUGCCUAAUACAUGCAAGUCGAGCGAAUCUUGAGGUGCUUGCACCUCUUGGUUAGCGGCGGACGGGUGAGUAACACGUGGGCAACCUGCCUGUAAGACUGGGAUAACUUCGGGAAACCGGAGCUAAUACCGGAUAAUCCUUUUCCUCUCAUGAGGAAAAGCUGAAAGUCGGUUUACGCUGACACUUACAGAUGGGCCCGCGGCGCAUUAGCUAGUUGGUGAGGUAACGGCUCACCAAGGCGACGAUGCGUAGCCGACCUGAGAGGGUGAUCGGCCACACUGGGACUGAGACACGGCCCAGACUCCUACGGGAGGCAGCAGUAGGGAAUCUUCCGCAAUGGACGAAAGUCUGACGGAGCAACGCCGCGUGAGCGAUGAAGGCCUUCGGGUCGUAAAGCUCUGUUGUUAGGGAAGAACAAGUACCGGAGUAACUGCCGGUACCUUGACGGUACCUAACCAGAAAGCCACGGCUAACUACGUGCCAGCAGCCGCGGUAAUACGUAGGUGGCAAGCGUUGUCCGGAAUUAUUGGGCGUAAAGCGCGCGCAGGCGGUCCUUUAAGUCUGAUGUGAAAGCCCACGGCUCAACCGUGGAGGGUCAUUGGAAACUGGGGGACUUGAGUACAGAAGAGGAAAGCGGAAUUCCACGUGUAGCGGUGAAAUGCGUAGAGAUGUGGAGGAACACCAGUGGCGAAG
rnacentral:rRNA from 1 species